rfam:Exophiala dermatitidis NIH/TT8656 unplaced genomic scaffold supercont1.1, whole genome shotgun sequence.
GCCCGCUUGGCCCAGGGGUAAGGCGUCUCACUCGUAAUGAGAAGAUCGGAGGUUCGAAUCCUCCAGCGGGCA